GAGUUUGAUCCUGGCUCAGAUUGAACGCUGCGGCAUGCCUUACACAUGCAAGUCGAACGCGAAAGGGCUUCGGCCCGAGUAGAGUGGCGGACGGGUGAGUAAUGCGUGGGAAUCUACCCUAGAGCGGGGGACAACCCGGGGAAACUCGGGCUAAUACCGCAUACGUCCUACGGGAGAAAGGGGGCCUCUGAAUGUAAGCUCCCACUCCAGGAUGAGCCCACGUCCGAUUAGCUAGUUGGUAGGGUAAAGGCCUACCAAGGCCACGAUCGGUAGCUGGUCUGAGAGGAUGGCCAGCCACACUGGGACUGAGACACGGCCCAGACUCCUACGGGAGGCAGCAGUGGGGAAUAUUGGACAAUGGGCGCAAGCCUGAUCCAGCAAUGCCGCGUGUGUGAAGAAGGCCUGCGGGUUGUAAAGCACUUUCAGUGGGGAAGAACGGGCUAAGGUUAAUACCCCUGGCUUCUGACGUUACCCACAGAAGAAGCACCGGCUAACUCCGUG
rnacentral:rRNA from 1 species